CAGAAGCUGUGGGUUCUGGUGGGGUAUCUUCUAUUGCUUGUUAAAUCUCCUUUGUAAACUGCUAAGCUUUGAGAAAUUGUUUCGUAUUUGUUGACUGGCAGCUCACUGGAUUUCCUAGCCAUUCGUUACAACAAGCCCUUCUAGGUCUAUAUAAGUUCAUAGGCUCCGUUCCCCAACCCACUCCAGGAGCCCUUACACCCUGCCAAGAAGAGCCAACCUCAGAACAUCUGGAUUAGCAACUCUGGCAUUUUCCAGAUUACCAAGCAGAUAGCUCAAUUUCAAGCCUAUGGAAAUGCUGGUCUUCAGGCAGCAUCUGCUUGGAAAAUUUGUCCAAACAGCAGGGAGACCUCUGGGCCUAGCACUAACUCACUUGCGGCGUGACGUUCACGUGCCACCAUCCUGUCUUCUUCAGUUGGACUUAAGCUUUUAAACUUAGGAGCAUUCCUUUACUACUUGUUUUGUUAAAAACAGCCUGAUAUAAUUUUAAGUUAAGUUAUUUAAUGAGGCAUGCUAUAACAUGACAUUGCCGAUGUUGUACACAGUUCUAAAAAGUCAAUCCUUUCGAGUUUGUAAACUUUCAGAAUAAAUUAAAUUUUUUCUCCUUU